rnacentral:rRNA from 1 species
UACAGAGGUCCCAAGCGUUGUUCGGAUUCACUGGGCGUAAAGGGUGCGUAGGUGGUUAGGUAAGUCCGAUGUGAAAUCUCCAGGCUCAACCUGGAAAUGGCAUUGGAUACUAUCUAGCUUGAGGAGUGGAGGGGGGACUAGAAUUCUCGGUGUAGCAGUGAAAUGCGUAGAUAUCGAGAGGAACACCAGUGGCGAAGGCGAGUCCCUGGACACUUCCUGACACUGAGGCACGAAAGCUAGGGGAGCAAACAGG